GCGCAGGUGGCGAAAUUGGUACACGCAUACGCUUGAGGGGCGUACGGGAGCAAUCCCAUGGGGGUUCAAAUCCCCCCCUGCGCA
rnacentral:tRNA from 1 species